ACUCCGCUCUGUGUGUGUGCAGCGGGCAGCGGCCGCAGCAGCUCCUUGAUUCAAUAGAUGAGAUGGAAGAAGAAAAAAAAGAACUCUCUCCAUUUGGAGAAAGAGGAGGAGGGGAGGGGGUGGAGGGGGAGAGAGCGAGCGAAAGAGAAAAAGGCUGGAGCUCCCGCCCCUGGGGCUGUCAGAUGGCUUGGGUUUCUGCGACGCGAUUGGCUCACGGAGGGCAGAAAUUACUCAGCAAACAUGACUAUUAUUAGCUGCUUAGCAACAGCUCACCAAAGUAGAGAGACCACCCAGAGAAGACUUAGACUCUCGCGGGGAACAACGCCUAACAUUAAGAUAAACAAAAUGGAAAGUUAAAGAGGAAAAAACGGUGUUGAACUGCAGAGGGACCCGCGGCAACAAGAAGCCGACUGAAGCCGUGAAAUGGGGCCGUGUGGCUUUAAGAUGCACACGGUGUGUGUUCAUUGAAAAAAAAAAAAAGAAGAAAGAAAGGAAAGAAAGAA